rnacentral:rRNA from 1 species
UGAGGAAUAUUGGUCAAUGGGCGAGAGCCUGAACCAGCCAAGUCGCGUGAAGGAAGACUGCCUUAUGGGUUGUAAACUUCUUUUAUACAGGAAUAAAAAGGCCUACGUGUAGGCCAUUGCAAGUACUGUAUGAAUAAGCAUCGGCUAACUCCGUGCCAGCAGCCGCGGUAAUACGGAGGAUGCGAGCGUUAUCCGGAUUUAUUGGGUUUAAAGGGUGCGCAGGCGGGCUUUUAAGUCAGCGGUGAAAUCUGGACGCUUAACGUCCAAACUGCCGUUGAAACUGGGAGUCUUGAGUAUGGAUGAAGUAGGCGGAAUUCGUUGUGUAGCGGUGACAUGCAUAGAUAUAACGAGGAACUCCGAUUGCGUAGGCAGCUUACUAAGCCAUAACUGACGCUCAUGCACGAAAGCGUGGGGAUCAAACAGGAUUAGAUACCCUGGUAGUCCACGCCGUAAACGAUGAUUACUAGUUGUAUGCGAUAUGAUAGUAUGUGACUAAGCGAAAGCGAUAAGUAAUCCACCUGGGGAGUACGCCGGCAACGGUGAAACUUAAAUGAAUUGACGGGGUCAUAGCUGUUUCCUG